rnacentral:rRNA from 1 species
GUUUCCUACGGGAGGCAGCAGUGAGGAAUAUUGGUCAAUGGCCGAAGGGCUGAACCAGCCAAGCCGCGUGCAGGAAUAAGGCCCUACGGGUCGUAAACUUCUUUAGUCAGGGAACAAAGGGUGCCACGUGUGGCGCUGUGAGUGUACCUGAAGAAUAAGCAUCGGCUAACUCCGUGCCAGCAGCCGCGGUAAUACGGAGGAUGCGAGCGUUAUCCGGAUUUAUUGGGUUUAACGGGUGCGUAGGCGGUUUGUCAAGUCCGCGGUCAAAAUUCC